ensembl:lncRNA
GCCCCAGGGCCUCCCUCCCCACCUCCCCGAAACCGGCUACCGCAUCCCCGCCCGCAGCUGCGCCUUUAAACUUGAGAAAAUCCGAAUUUAGACCCGCAAGUGACCAAGACCGCCUUGGGGAGGACAGACCGGUCCCUCCCCUCCCCCCACUCCUGAGCUAGGAGGGGCACGGGGCGCCUCCCCGACACCUCCCCCCCGCCCCCACUGUCGGGUCUGCUCUUCCAUCCCUACAGAGGGAUGCCCACCACGGACUCUGAGCCCCUCGGACCUGACCGGCAGCACAGUAGGGCCCAGGCCCUGCCAUCGCCACAUGUCUGCGCCCACCCAGGCAGCUCUACACCCCACACUCAGGACAACCCGCCAUGUCCUGGUCCCCCAGCCCCUUCGCGGGCAUGGGGGGUGAGGGGCCAGGCUCCGGGACUCCCUCCUCCCGUGGCCUUGCACAGCCGCUCACUGACUGCAGCCCCAUCCUCCAGAAAGCUGUUCGCCCCUGGGCACAUGUUGGUUCAGCAGGUGCCAGGACCCAUGCUGGGGUCUGUGUCCACAGGGACCAGGGCAGCCGUGCCCCAGGGGAGCAGGAAGAGUUGUGUGUGUGAACAUGGGCGCUUCCCGAGGCCGGCGAGCCCACCAGCAGGGUGCUUGGGCAGAGAGAGGGGCAGGACACACACGUCCCCUAACACGGGGAAUGCAGACCAGAAGACGGGCAGCCAGGGCAGCUGCUGGAGGACCCGCUUCCCUCUGAGGUCAGACUCCCCCGAGCACGCCCCUGCCCAGCCAGGGAGGAGAGCGCUGCUGCCCAGGCAGUCUGCGUCCGUCCCCACAGCAGGGCACAUGGCCCUGUGGGCAGAAAAGGACCUGUGCCGUCCUUCAGUCCCUGGCACAGCUGGGAGCCCUCCAAGGCCUGGCCCCUCGGAGCCCCGGCGCCUGUGCCUCCCCUGGUUCCCUGCACACGGACCCUGCGGGAGGAGCCCUGGGCCCUCCUGCAGAUGGAGGAGCUGAGGCUAGGGGGCACGCUGCUUCCCCACGUGGGAGAAGUAAGUCUUUUCUGUCAAACCAAAGUGACUCCAUUUUCGAUGGUAGCUUCCUUGUCUUGUAAGAAGUUCCACUUUUAAGUGAGUUACAGGAUUCUGAGAUCUGCUGCCCCGUCCCAACACCACAAACAGCUGCUGCCCAUUGCUGCCCCUGGUUUCUUCUGUGAGCUCUGCCACGUCAAGUCAGCCGUCAGAAAUCUCCACUCAUUCUGCUUAGACAGCCGCGAAGUGGAAGGCAAGCCUGAGCCAAUGGGGCAAAAGGCCAGGACCUCCCGCCACACCCACACCGCCCCUCAGAAGACCAGGAGGCCGCCCGUGGCACCUGCUCCUCUGUUGACAGCCGGCCACGCACCCUUCUGCAGAAGUAAAUGUUCUUGCUGAGACACCUUGUGUCUGUGUCUUGUUCAACACCCAGUCACUGAAAACAUCUUUCUUAGAACUGAAUCCGCACACUGCAACACUCACCCUUUUUAUUUAUUUGAAAGUCAAAGUUACACAGAGAGGAGAGGCAGAGAGAGAGAGAAACAGACAGAGAGACAGAGAGAGGUCUUCCAUCCGCUGAUUUACCCCCCUAAAUGGCCACAACGGCCAGAGCUGCGCCAAUCCAAAGCCAGGAGCCAGGAGCUUCUUCCUGGUCUCCCACGCGGGUGCAGGGGCCCAAGGACUUGGGCCAUCUUCUACUGCUUUCCCAGGCCACAGCAGAGAGCUGGACUGGAAGAGGAGCAGCCGAGACUAGAACCGGCGCCCAUAUGGGAUGCCAGCGCCGCCUACUGCGCCACGUUGCCGGCCCCGAGCCCCGUAUUUUUGUCCAUGUUCUGUGGUUUCAGCCUUUUCAGAUCUCAGGUCUUUGACCCAUUUGGAGUUCAUUUUUGUCUGUGGUGUAAAGAAAGGGACCCAAUGUCAUCUCUCUCUUUUUUUUUUUAAGAUUUAUUUUAUUUUUUGAAAGACAGUUACAGAGAGAGGGAGAA